AUUGAACGCUGGCGGCAUGCUUUACACAUGCAAGUCGAACGGUAACAGGCCGCAAGGUGCUGACGAGUGGGGAACGGGUGAGUAAUGAAUAGGAAAGUGCCCAGUCGUGGGGGAUAACUACUCGAAAGAGUAGCUAAUACCGCAUACGAUCUAUGGACGAAAGCGGGGGACCGUAAGGCCUCGCGCGAUCGGAGCGGCAGCUGUCAGAUUAGGUAGUUGGUGGGGUAAAGGCUGACCAAGCCAACGAUCUGUAGCUGGUCUGAGAGGACGAGCAGCCACACUGGGACUGAGCCACGGCCAAUACUCCUACGGGAGGCAGCAGUGGGGAAUUUUGGACAAUGGGCGCAAGCCUGAUCCAGCAAUGCCGCGUGCAGGAAGAAGGCCUUCGGGUUGUAAACUGCGUUUGUACGGAACGAAACGGCUCUGGUUAAUACCCGGGGCUAAUGACGGUACCGUAAGAAUAAGCACCGGCUAACUACGUG
rnacentral:rRNA from 1 species